GGUUGAUGAGGAUUAUAUUAAGGCUUGUUUCUCAAAACAUUCGCAGUGGCCGCCUAAAGCUUUCGCCUUUCGCCAGGCUUGAGAGCUAAUGCAGCUUUAUCCUUCCUUGGAUGUCUGAAACC
rfam:Arabidopsis thaliana chromosome 4, complete sequence.